CCUACGGGAGGCUGCAGUGAGGAAUAUUGGUCAAUGGACGAGAGUCUGAACCAGCCAAGUAGCGUGAAGGAUGACUGCCCUAUGGGUUGUAAACUUCUUUUAUAUGGGAAUAAAAUGUUCCACGUGUGGGAUUUUGUAUGUACCAUAUGAAUAAGGAUCGGCUAACUCCGUGCCAGCAGCCGCGGUAAUACGGAGGAUCCGAGCGUUAUCCGGAUUUAUUGGGUUUAAAGGGUGCGUAGGCGGGCAUUUAAGCCGGCGGUCAAAGGUCGGGGCUCAACCCCGGACUGCCGGCGGAACUGGGUGCCGUGAGUGGGCGAGAAGUAUGCGGAAUGCGUGGUGUAGCGGUGAAAUGCAUAGAUAUCACGCAGAACCCCGAUUGCGAAGGCAGCAUACCGGCGCCCUACUGACGCUGAGGCACGAAAGUGCGGGUAUCGAACAGGAUUAGAUACCCUGGUUAGUC
rnacentral:rRNA from 1 species